AUUGAACGCUGGCGGCAUGCUUUACACAUGCAAGUCGAACGGCAGCGGGGCUUCGGCCGUGCCGGCGAGUGGCGAACGGGUGAGUAAUGCAUACGGUAACCGUUGCCGAGUGUCGUGGGGAUAACGUAGCGAAAGCUACGGCGUAAUACCGCAUACGUCCUGAGGGAGAAAGCGGGGGAUCUUUGGACCUCGCGCGAUUGGAGCGGCCGAUGUCGGAUUAGCUAGUAGGUGAGGUAAAGGCUCACCUAGGCGACGAUCCGUAGCGGGUCUGAGAGGAUGAUCCGCCACACUGGGACUGAGACACGGCCCAGACUCCUACGGGAGGCAGCAGUGGGGAAUUUUUGGACAAUGGGGGCAACCCUGAUCCAGCCAUGCCGCGUGAGUGAAGAAGGCCUCGGUUG
rnacentral:rRNA from 1 species